GACCCGGCUGUGGUAGACAAGUCCGGCUCCAGAACCUGGACACCGCCCAGCCGGCCGCGGCAGGGGUC
rnacentral:miRNA from 1 species